rnacentral:rRNA from 1 species
ACGGGAGGCAGCAGUGAGGAAUAUUGGUCAAUGGGCGGAAGCCUGAACCAGCCAAGUCGCGUGAAGGAUGAAGGUAUUAUGUAUUGUAAACUGCUUUUAUGUGAGAAUAAAGAGAGCCACGUGUGGCUUAUUGCAUGUAUCAUAUGAAUAAGGACCGGCUAAUUCCGUGCCAGCAGCCGCGGUAAUACGGAAGGUCCGGGCGUUAUCCGGAUUUAUUGGGUUUAAAGGGAGCGUAGGCGGCCUUUUAAGCGUGUUGUGAAAUGUCCCGGCUCAACCGUGGCACUGCAGCGCGAACUGGAGGGCUUGAGUGCGCCGGAAGUAGGCGGAAUUCGUUGUGUAGCGGUGAAAUGCUUAGAUAUGACGAAGAACUCCGAUUGCGAAGGCAGCUUACUGUCGCGUAACUGACGCUGAAGCUCGAAAGUGCGGGUAUCGAACAGGAUUAGAUACCCUGGUA